UAAACGUACUCAGUUCGGAUUGUAGUCUGCAACUCGACUACAUGAAGCUGGAAUCGCUAGUAAUCGCAAAUCAGAAUGUUGCGGUGAAUACGUUCCCGGGCCUUGUACACACCGCCCGUCAAGCCAUGGAAGCCGGGAGUGCCUGAAGUGCGUGACCGCAAGGAGCGUCCUAAGGCAAUACCGGUGACUGGGGCUAAGUCGUAACAAGGUAGC
rnacentral:rRNA from 1 species